UGUGAGCAGAAGAAAGCGCCUGCCCCGAGCAGAGGACCCCCUCAGCCAACAAGGCUUUUGCGCAGAAAGCUGUGGGCUGGAUAUCUGAACCCGCGGCCCCACAAUGCGCUGCUAUCGGGUGACGGCGGAGGGCUCCCGUUACCGCGGGGCGCGCAGGCGGCUUAUCGGGGAUCUGGGCGCCUCCUGCCGAGGCGCUGGCCGCGACCUGCCCGCCUCCCGCGGGGCUGGACUUACCCGAGCCACGCGGGGGCUUUGGCUCCCUGCUGUUCUUGCCGAGCGGGAGCUCAUCCCGGGCCGGGGCGCAGGGCCGGGGCGCAGGGCCAGGGCGCAGGAGCACGGUGCAGGGCCGGGGUGCAGGGCUGGGGUGCAGGACCGGGGUGCAGGACUGGGGCGUAGGAGCACGGUGCAGGGCUGGGGCGCAGGACCAGAGCGCAGGAGCAGGGCUCAGGGCCUGGGCGCAGGACCGGGGCAUAGGACCAGGGCGUAGGAGCAGGGCGCAGGGCCGGGGCACCGGAAAAGGGCGCAGGGCCAGGGCCGGGGCUAGGGCGCAGGAGCAGGGCGCAGGGCCGGGGCCGGAAUCAGGGUGCAGGAGCGGGGCGCAGGACUAGAGCUGGGGUCAGGGCGCAGGAGUGGGGCGCGGGGCCGGGGCGGGAGCGUGGAGGUCCACGGGGACAUCGCGCCCCCGGGAGACCCGGUGCAGACGCGGGGCAUGAGCAGGAAAGGACGCGGCUGAGCGGGGACAGCGCUGUGGGGCGAGCCACCCCCGGCGGCCCGAUGGGGGCGCGCGGCCUUGCUCGGUGACCCCGGGCCUGGCGCAGCCCCCGCCGCCCGGACCGCCCGCGGCGUCCCCAUGAGCGAUGCGCAGGUGGCCCGGCCGCCGGGGAUCCGCGGCGCCCCGGGGGGUGGGGGGCGGGGGCCCUGCGACCCGGCCGCGGCGCCCCCCGCGGGAUGGCGAGGACAGCGGCCGGGCCCGGAGCGGGCGCUCGGGAGGCUGCACGCCGUGUUCCACGCGGGCCCGCGGGGGCGGGCGGGGGCGCAGCAGACCCGGCAGGACCAGGACGGCCCCGCCGACGCCGCCGAGAGCCGCGCGGACCGGGCGUGGGUGGCCUCGCGCCCCCAGGACUGCCUGCGCUACCUGCAGGAGCUGCUGGCCCUCCGCAGGCAGUACCUCCGCCGCCUGCAGCCGCCGCGGCCCGCCCCCGCCCCCGCCCCCGGGGACGCCAAGCGGAGAGCAACCCCGCGGAAAUACUCCCAGUUCAGCGCGGACGUGGCCGAGGCCAUGGCCUUCUUUGAUUCCAUCAUUGCAGAGCUGGACACGGAGAAGCGGCCGUGGGCGGCUGAGGCAGAUGCCCCGAAUGAGGACGUGGACUGCGAAGUGGCCACCAGCUCCCGGGAGCACGGCUUGCACUGCAACUGGAUCCUGCGGGCCCCGCGCCGGCACUCGGAGGACAUGGCCGUGCACGCGGUGCACACGGUGGACAGCCAGCUGCGGAGGGCCGCCGAGUGCAGGACCAUUGGCACCCAGAGGCGACUCGAGAGGCACCCCAUUUACCUGCCCAAGGCCGUGGAAGGGGCAUUCAACACCCUGAAAUUUAAGCCCAAAGCCUGCAAAAAAGACCAGCCAAGCCUCACUAGGGCCUCUGCCUCAUUCGUCCCUUCCAUCCUGGGGAGCCCCAGACAGAUCCUCUUCAACUUCUCAGGAGAAGACAUGGAGUGGGACGCCGAGCUCUUUGCACUGGAGCCCCUGACGUCUCCAGGGGAGGACUACCCCGAGCCCGAGAACCCCAGGGGGCAGUGGCUGCUGCGAGAGAAACUCUGGGAGCGAACAGUGCCCUGACUGGCUCGGGGCUGCCCAGCCCGACUCAGGCUGCGUCCCAGGGAAGGCGGCUGCAGGUGUUUGGGCAGCACCAGGUGUUUGGAGGCGGUAACCCUGCAGCCCAUGAACCUGUGGGCACGGCCCGCUGGGGUGCAGCUAGUGCCAAACACGCCGGGGGGCUCCCAGGGCACCCACCUCGGGGGGACCUUGGAGGACCCUGGAGCCAGGCUUUCCCAGCGCAGCGGGUUAGCAGGUAGGUACGGCCGGGCUGCCGUCGCAGCGGCAGGAGUGGAAGGCCUGGCCUACCCUGGGGCCUGUCUUGGGCCUCUGCAUCGGUCCAGGCGGCCGCUAACUCGGUUAGCAGGGCAGGAGGGGCCCACCCGGACCUCCGGGCCGCAGCUGCCGUCCCACGGGGCUCACAAGCA
rnacentral:lncRNA from 12 species